rnacentral:rRNA from 1 species
UUUUUGGAUAAGUUUAGAAUCGUUGUACCCAUGCCGAACACAGAAGUUAAGCCCUAGAACGCCGGAAGUAGUUGGGGGUUGCCCCCUGUGAGAUAGGGAAGUCGCUUAGCU